AACAACAUUCAAGUUUUAACUAUAAAAGGAUCAAAAUAAAUAUCUUUACUACAUUCAAAGGAUGAAAAAUAUGGCUCAGUUUCUUCUGUUUAUUUAUUCUUUGAUUAUCUUUCUUUCUCCAUUUCUUGGAGAAGCGGUGUUCAAGAGGACUGAAACCGGGGAAAUAAUCUGGACUCUUCCUUGCGCUACUGACACUGAUUGUCCAAAGAUGGGUGAACCUAUGUAUUUUAAGUGUCUUAAUGGUUUUUGUUUGGAACAUAUUCGUGAAUUGCACGAUUGAAACUAGGGAACAUCACAAUAUUUCAACUUUUAACUUUUAUUUAAAAAUAUAAAUUAUGUUUAUCUAGCUGUUAAAUUUAAUUUUAUGUGUAUAUGCUGCACUCUUUUUUCCUUCACCAAGUUUUAUCCUAUUGGAUUUUCUUGUUAAGGUUUUUAACGAGACAGUUUUCUAUAGUAUUUGUUUCCUUUGGUUUUGGUGUAGUCCCCCAAUUUAUUUGUUUUUUAAAUAAAAUGUUUCUUUUAUGUCUUACAGAUAAUUGUAAAGACUUAAGAUCCCUACCUAGGUAGGAUUUCCUCAUAUGUACGUUCAUGAUAUCUAAAAAAAAAUUAAAUGCAUUUUAUCAUAA